rnacentral:rRNA from 1 species
ACGGAGGGUGCGAGCGUUAUUCGGAAUUACUGGGCGUAAAGCGCGUGUAGGCGGUCCUGCAAGUCUGAUGUGAAAGCCCCGGGCUUAACCCGGGAAGUGCAUUGGAAACUGUGGGACUUGAGUACUGGAGAGGAUGGAGGAAUUCCCGGUGUAGAGGUGAAAUCCGUAGAGAUCGGGAGGAACAUCAGUGGCGAAGGCGCCCCACUGGACGGUAACUGACGCUGAGACGCGAAACCGUGGUGAGCAAACAG